rnacentral:rRNA from 1 species
GCAAUUAUACCGCGAAACUGCGAAUGGCUCAUUAAAUCAGUUAUCGUUUAUUUGAUAGUACCUUACUACUUGGAUAACCGUGGUAAUUCUAGAGCUAAUACAUGCUAAAAAUCCCGACUUCGGAAGGGAUGUAUUUAUUAGAUUAAAAACCAAUGCCCUCUGGGCUCACUGGUGAUUCAUAAUAACUUCUCGAAUCGCACGGCCUUGCGCCGGCGAUGGUUCAUUCAAAUUUCUGCCCUAUCAACUUUCGACGGCUGGGUCUUGGCCAGCCAUGGUGACAACGGGUAACGGAGGGUUAGGGCUCGACCCCGGAGAAGGAGCCUGAGAAACGGCUACUACAUCCAAGGAAGGCAGCAGGCGCGCAAAUUACCCAAUCCCGAUUCGGGGAGGUAGUGACAAUAAAUACUGAUACAGGGCUCUUUUGGGUCUUGUAAUUGGAAUGAGUACAAUUUAAAUCCCUUAACGAGGAACAAUUGGAGGGCAAGUCUGGUGCCAGCAGCCGCGGUAAUUCCAGCUCCAAUAGCGUAUAUUAAAGUUGUUGCGGUUAAAAAGCUCGUAGUUGAAACUUGGGCCUAGCUGGCCGGUCCGCCUCACCGCGUGCACUGGUCCGGCCGGGCCUUUCCCUCUGGGGAACCGCAUGCCCUUCACUGGGCGUGUCGGGGAACCAGGACUUUUACUUUGAAAAAAUUAGAGUGUUCAAAGCAGGCCUAUGCUCGAAUACAUUAGCAUGGAAUAAUAGAAUAGGACGUUGCGGUUCUAUUUUGUUGGUUUCUAGGACCGCCGUAAUGAUUAAUAGGGACAGUCGGGGGCAUCAGUAUUCAAUUGUCAGAGGUGAAAUUCUUGGAUUUAUUGAAGACUAACUACUGCGAAAGCAUUUGCCAAGGAUGUUUUCAUUAAUCAGGAACGAAAGUUAGGGGAUCGAAGACGAUCAGAUACCGUCGUAGUCUUAACCAUAAACUAUGCGAACUAGGGAUCGGACGAUGUUAUUUUUUGACUCGUUCGGCACCUUACACGAAAGUACAAGUUUCUGCGUCC